rnacentral:rRNA from 1 species
GUAAUGCUUGGGAACUUGCCUUUGCGAGGGGGAUAACAGUUGGAAACGACUGCUAAUACCGCAUAAUGUCUUCGGACCAAACGGGGCUUCGGCUCCGGCGCAAAGAGAGGCCCAAGUGAGAUUAGCUAGUUGGUGAGGUAAAGGCUCACCAAGGCAACGAUCUCUAGCUGUUCUGAGAGGAAGAUCAGCCACACUGGGACUGAGACACGGCCCAGACUCCUACGGGAGGCAGCAGUGGGGAAUAUUGCACAAUGGGGGAAACCCUGAUGCAGCCAUGCCGCGUGUGUGAAGAAGGCCUUCGGGUUGUAAAGCACUUUCAGUUGUGAGGAAAAGUUAGUAGUUAAUACCUGCUAGCCGUGACGUUAACAACAGAAGAAGCACCGGCUAACUCCGUGCCAGCAGCCGCGGUAAUACGGAGGGUGCGAGCGUUAAUCGGAAUUACUGGGCGUAAAGCGCACGCAGGCGGUUUGUUAAGCUAGAUGUGAAAGCCCCGGGCUCAACCUGGGACGGUCAUUUAGAACUGGCAGACUAGAGUCUUGGAGAGGGGAGUGGAAUUCCAGGUGUAGCGGUGAAAUGCGUAGAUAUCUGGAGGAACAUCAGUGGCGAANGCGACUCCCUGGCCAAAGACUGACGCUCAUGUGCGAAAGUGUGGGUAGCGAACAGGAUUAGAUACCCUGGUAGUCCACACCGUAAACGCUGUCUACUAGCUGUUUGUGACUUUAAGUCGUGAGUAGCGAAGCUAACGCGAUAAGUAGACCGCCUGGGGAGUACGGCCGCAAGGUUAAAACUCAAAUGAAUUGACGGGGGCCCGCACAAGCGG